rnacentral:lncRNA from 1 species
CUUUUUCGCAACGGGUUUGCCGCCAGAACACAGCUGGCAAGGUCACCAAGUCUGCCCAGAAAGCUCAGAAGGCUAAAUGAAUAUUAUCCCUAAUACCUGCCACCCCACUCUUAAUCAGUGGUGGAAGAACGGUCUCAGAACUGUUUGUUUCAAUUGGCCAUUUAAGUUUAGUAGUAAAAGACUGGUUAAUGAUAACAAUGCAUCGUAAAACCUUCAGAAGGAAAGGAGAAUGUUUUGUGGACCACUUUGGUUUUCUUUUUUGCGUGUGGCAGUUUUAAGUUAUUAGUUUUUAAAAUCAGUACUUUUUAAUGGAAACAACUUGACCAAAAAUUUGUCACAGAAUUUUGAGACCCAUUAAAAAAGUUAAAUGA